GUUCGAAUGGUGUAGUGGUUAUCACGUGUCGUUCACAUCCAAGUGAAUACAUAUUCUCCGACAAGGUCCCCGGUUCGACCCCGGGUUCGAACA
rnacentral:tRNA from 1 species